UCAAAGAGGGUGACCUUGCUUUUUCUCAUCUCCUCAUCUUCUCAUCAAGCAAACUUGCAGAUCUGAGAGCUUCAACUUCAAUCCAAGAUAUUUGUAAGACUUUUAGGCUGAAGUGCACUAGAAGUCAAUCUAUCCUGAAGAAGAUCCACGCGCAAGAUGAGCCAUAUUUGAACAAGCCUAUCGAGGAUUACGACCUCAUUGAGAAGAUAUGUGGCAAUAAUCAAGCU